rnacentral:rRNA from 1 species
GACGAACGCUGGCGGCGUGCUUAACACAUGCAAGUCGUGCGGUAAGGCCCUUUCGGGGGUACACGAGCGGCGCACGGGUGGGUAACACGUGCGCAACCUGCCCUUCACUUUGGGAUAACUGCCGGAAACGGUGGCUAAUACCGGAUAUGACUUCCUCACGCAUGUGGGGUGGUGGAAAGCCUUCGGGUUGUGGGGGAUGGGCUCGCGGCCUAUCAGCUUGUUUGUGGGGUGUUGGCCUACCAAGGCUUCGACGGGUAGCCGGCCUGGGAGGGUGACCGGCCACGCUGGGACUGAGACACGGCCCAGACUCCUACGGUAGGCAGCGGUGGGGAAUAUUGUACAGUGGGCGGAGGCCUGAUCCAGCAACGCCGCGUGGGGGAUGACGGCCAUCGGGUUGUAAACCACUUUCGCCUGCGACGAAGCGAGAGUGACGGUAGCAGGUAAAGAAGCACCGGCCAACUACGUG